AACGGCCCUGGGAAUGACCUUCGCGAGGAUCGGCGUUAGGAAUGAACGGCGCGAGGAUCGGCGUUAGGAAUGGCGCUGGGAGCGGCGCGAGGACUCCUUGCUACUGCCGGCGGCUCCUUCUGUCAGCUGCUGGUUUAAAGUAAGGCCGCGGGUGGCGGUGCCUGCGGAGCAGCGCGGGGAGCCUCUCGCUGAGGGUUUCCGUGUGCAUGGGCUGCCCACAGGUCCAGCGGGUCCUCGAACUUCCUGAACUCGAGACGCUGAUGGGCCGUCCAGCAUCCCGAUUCCCUGCCAAUGCGGUGAACAAGAAACACGGGGAACCAGCAAAAGGCAUGUCCUGGAUGCAGACACUGUUUUGAUGUUCCCUUUCCGAAGUACAGAUCACCUGAAUGUUUUAGUACCAUCAAUGAUGGAUGAUAUUUUUCUGCAUCUCUUCUGCCUCUGCUAUGUGGUGAAGUUCAGCCACUCUGUACAAAGGUUAUGCCCAGUUAAAACAGCCUGUUAAUUAUUUAUGAGACAGCAAGAAGACCAAUGGGACUUCCACUUGUCCUUCUGGAGAAAUAAUGAGACCAUUACAGUCUAUUUAACACCAUGAAAAACAGUAUCCACAGGUGACCUUUCAGAAUCAUUGCCAAGUUAGAUUUAUGGCCAUCAUGUACUCUCAUCAAGUAAGAAUAUCAAAGAGGGGCUUAAAGUUAAAUUGGCACUUCAAUUGGUAACAGCAUCCUUACAUUUGAUAAUAAUAAAAUCUCUUCAUUUUACUUUAUUUUAUUUAAGGGAGGGAACGUCUCUCACAGGCAGAAUCUGAUAGCUGGUAUUGUUUCUUUUAAGUUCUGGGACCCUACUGAAUACUGUGGGUAUAUGCUGUAAUAUGACAUAGCGAUAAUGCUGAGAUAUUGCCAUGCCUGUUCAAAUAGUCAAAACAUCUGUACUUGGAGGAAAAUUUCAACGCUCCAUUCCUUCAGCCACGCAGUCCCUGAAAGCAAUGCUGGAUACUGAAAGACUGAAAGCUUUUUUGGUAGUGCUCAGGCCACUGGUAUACAAAAGGUGAAUACCACGAUCACCUCCCAGGGAUGAGAAUUAACUUAAAAUAAAAAUUACAGGAGACUUUGUUUUUAAUUAGUAAUUAAAUGAAAGAAAAAACAUGGCUUGCCUGUCCUUUAUGUUAGCAGAUUAUACUGAAGUAGAUACAAUUUCAAUCCCAAUCCCUAGGUGGGUUUGAAAAGACACGUACAUCUAUCAGAAUGGUGACUAUAGGAAGAAAUAAUGACUUAAUCUAAAUGCUGAACAAAACAGCACUGUGUAGGACGCAUGCAGCUGUGAAACUGCAGAUGGAAUAUCAAGGAAACAGAAUCUAACUGUGUAUCUUGAAACAGAUGUGAAGCAGAAGGGGCAUGUUCCAAGCAGCUGAUUAAAAAAAAAGAAGAAGAAGCUUUAUUGAACAAAUUAUUGUAAUUGAUUGCUUAUUAAAAAAAAUAAAAUUGGUGAUAUACAGUUUCAAGAGUUAGGCUCAGUCCUUGUCCAAAUGACUGCUUAACACCAUGGCUGCA